CCUACGGGGGGCAGCAGUGAGGAAUAUUGGUCAAUGGUCGCAAGUCUGAACCAGCCAUGCCGCGUGCAGGAAGACGGUUCAAUGAGUCGUAAACCGCUUUUGUCAGAGGACAAAGCCUGAUACGCGUACCCGUCUGAAUGUACCUUACGAACAAGCAUCGGCUAACUCCGUGCCAGCAGCCGCGGUAAUACGGAGGAUUCAAGCGUUAUCCGGAUUUAUUGGGUUUAAAGGGUGCGCAGGCGGUCGGUUAAGUCAGCGGUGAAAUCCCGGGGCUCAACUCCGGCCCUGCCGUUGAUACUGUCAGGCUAGAGUGUGGGUGCGGUAGGCGGAAUGUAUGGUGUAGCGGUGAAAUGCAUAGAGAUCGUACAGAACACCGAUUGCGAAGGCAGCUUGCCGGGCUACGACUGACGUUGAGGCACGAAAGCGUGGGGAGCGAACAGGAUUAGAUACCCGUGUAGUC
rnacentral:rRNA from 1 species